UCCAUCUUCGUCUUCAACCUGCAACCUGCCGCCACCACCAACCUCUACCUCUUCGCAACCUCUGAUGAUCAUCACCUAAAAAUUAAAGCAAAACUUUUAACUUUAGGGUUAGCAGGAGGCGGCGACUGAGGCACAGAAUAAUUACAGGCUCAUCUCUUCUUCUUGACUCAUCACCUUGGUCGCCGUUGGCAUCGACGGCGUUUUAAGCGGAGGCAGCCAGGAGACUGCUGGGGUGGAAGGUGGCUGUGUCAGUGAGGACCUCGGAGAAGUCGAACCGUCGAAGCUGGAGAGGGGGUAAGAGAAGAUAAACAGUGCAAGUUGAUGAGAGGGUUCUCUCCUCUCACGUGGCAAGUUAAGGAGUGAGUGUGGCUGAUACACACUCGGGUGAGCGUGAGCCUAGCAUCCCCCAUGUUUCAUGUACUGGCUAACCCCUGUGAUAAUGUCUCAACACCGAUUCAUAUUCAUUAUGAAACCCUUUUUUGAGACAUGCUUCUAUUAUGGUCUGCUAGAGGUGCUCUUGGAGACUGCCUGGAGCAUACUGAAGAUCAUUGCUUCAUUAUGAUGGAUCGACUUUAGAAAGAAGACAUAACCUAUCCUGCUAAUAUGCAAGGUGGUGAUUUUGCUCAAGAUGCUUAUGAUGAAGCUCUCAUGGAUGGCAAACUGCUCAAAGAAGGAGAAACACAUCCGGCUCUCAACUUAGAUUUUAUAAUUCUAAAGAACUUCCAAUCUUGAUUUUUGCUGAGGCAGCUAGUGGUGGAGCCUCUAAUCUUGAUUUCCCACUAAGGCAUGGUCUUAAUAUGAUUGUAAAUGAGGAAGAAAAUCGAUCUGGACCAACUCAGUACACUCAGGAACAGAAUCAAGAUUAUGUUAUGGAAGGGAAAGAGAAUAUGGAUGAGAAUUUUGAGCCAGCCCUAUCUGAUCAUGGCCUUCCUAACCAAGAGGAUCUUGAGCAUGCUGCCAUAGCUUCUCCUCCAACCAAUAAAAGUCCUAGAAAAAGCAGCAGCAAUUUUUCUGACAAGGAAGCAAAUGAUCACAAUGCCUCCUCUAAUGAAUCAUCUGCUUCUGCAACAGCUGGAAAAUGAAGAUAGCAGGAUGAAACUGUAGGGGCUGUGCUAAGGAUCGUUUUCUUAGCCAAGCCCUCUUUUCGCAAAAAAAAUUGUCUUUGGAUAUUUUUUGUAUGUUGGACACUAAGCUAACUGCGACUGCUGCUACUACUUUAAUUUCUA